rnacentral:rRNA from 1 species
UACGUAGGUGGCAAGCGUUGUCCGGAUUUACUGGGCGUAAAGAGCGCGCAGGCGGUCGUUCAAGUCGCGUGUGAAAGCCCCCGGCUCAACUGGGGAGGGUCACGCGAUACUGAUCGACUCGAAGGCAGGAGAGGGAAGUGGAAUUCCCGGUGUAGUGGUGAAAUUCGUAGAGAUGUGGAGGAACACCAAUGGCGAAGGCAGCCUUCUGGGCCAACACUGACACUCAUGCACGAAAGCGUGGGGAGCAAACAGG